rnacentral:rRNA from 1 species
UACGAGGGGUGCAAGCGUUGUUCGGAAUUACUGGGCGUAAAGGGAGCGUAGGCGGAGAUUCAAGCGGAUUGUACAAUCCCGGGGCCCAACCCCGGCUCUGCAGUCCGAACUGGAUCUCUUGGAUAGUUCGGGGCAGGCGGAAUUCCUGGUGUAGCGGUGGAAUGCGUAGAGAUCAGGAAGAACACCGAUGGCGAAGGCAGCCUGCUGGGGACUUAUCGACGCUGAGGCACGAGAGCGUGGGGAUCAAACA